rnacentral:rRNA from 1 species
CGUGAGUGAUGAAGACCUUCGGGUCGUAAAGCUCUGUCAAGUGGGAAAAAAUACUUCCGGUCAAUACCCGGAAGGACUGAUGGUACCACUGGAGGAAGCACCGGCUAACUCCGUGCCAGCAGCCGCGGUAAUACGGAGGGUGCAAGCGUUGUUCGGAUUUACUGGGCGUAAAGAGCGUGUAGGCGGUUUGGCAAGUCAGAUGUGAAAGCCCUGGGCUCAACUCAGGAAGUGCAUUUGAAACUGCCAUACUAGAGUAUGGGAGAGGAGAGUGGAAUUCCCAGUGUAGAGGUGAAAUUCGUAGAUAUUGGGAGGAACACCGGUGGCGAAGGCGACUCUCUGGACCAAUACUGACGCUGAGACGCGAAAGCGUGGGGAGCAAACAGGAUUAGAUACCCUGGUAGUCCACGCCGUAAACGAUGAGAACUAGGUGUAGCGGGUAUUGACCCCUGCUGUGCCGCAGCUAACGCA